rnacentral:rRNA from 1 species
CUUUUUGAGAGUUUGAUCCUGGCUCAGGAUGAACGCUGGCGGCGUGCCUUAAGCAUGCAAGUCGAACGAUUUCAGUAGCAAUA